rnacentral:lncRNA from 1 species
UUUUAGCCAUUGGGCUCUAAGAUAGGCCCAACGAAGAGAUGCUACACCCAGCCUACACGAAUACGGCUAAGCUGUCAAAAACCUUGGCCCAGGCCCAAACGCAAAGGGAAUUGAAACUAGACAUGGGCCUGCACAUUAAGGGAACUAAAUCCCAAUCUGCGCGAAUUAAGCUAGCAAGCCCGGAUCUUUACCCUAAACACAACCGUAGUUCAAUUGAGUUGCUGAACUUGCUACUAAAAUCAGCUAACAAGUAAAAUUAACUCAAUGGUCUUUAGACAAUAAGCUGAAACUACACAUUAGGGAAGAACUGACUUCAGAUUUCGUAUUCAACACAAACAGCCUAUAGUCAUAAUUCUAAACGUGUUACCUACCAGUUUAAGCUUCAAAUUGCAUACUGCCUGCUCAUUCUUGCUAAACUGUUGAUUCACGAUUUUAUAUGGACAUUAACGACAUGAUCGCAUAUGAGAAUUGCAACUCGAAUGCUAAAAGAACACGGAUUGUCUAUGGUUACUUUUACGAAUUACACAUACUUAGCAAUGAUUUCUGGCAUUUAAAUCAUAAACGUGACCACAAUUAGUUUCUGAUUUCAAAUCACUAUCUACUCUUAACUCUCUGCUUUCGAAUUCAUACAUGGCAAUUCAAACUCACAACUAACUCACACUAAUACUCCUAGAUAUUAGUCAGAACGAAUAAUCACACUACUUUAACAAUCCACAAGUUAAAAAAAUCCAAAAUAAUCCAGUUACAGUCCGAGUUAUACAAUAUACCACAAAUCAAAUGCAAACUAAGUAAAUUCAGAUCCUAUAUCCUCUCUUCUAAUAUGACAGUGUGAGCAUGCAAACUUCAGAGGGUAAAUGAAUGUGCAUUUUCAUUGCAGCAUCUCACUUCAAACUUACAUCCAUUCAUAGUUCGAAUAUGUAACUGGGAAAUCGAAUUUCAACAGAAGAAAAAGAGAUCAGCAGCAGGUAACAACAACUAGUAUCCAGCAAUCACAAACACAGUCGAUCUCAGCCCAUAAAUAACUCUAUGAUUCCAGAAGUGUUUUAAACCAAAUGAGACUGAUAUAUCAACCUCUAAACAACACCAAAAUGCCCAGAAAUGGACAUAGGAGAUCAAUACUCAACAGACGAACCACAAUUGGCUCAAAUUAGCCAAAUCCAAUACCUAGAGGACUCGAACUGCUUUAAAAUUCCAGAUAUCGAACAGAACAAGGAGAUUCAAGUAGCUUUGAUCCUAAAUGAGCUAGAGACCUGAAUUAAAUGAUGGAAUCUGAAAAUGAUUUAAGGAAUACUAAUGUAACAAUACUUUUUUUGUUUUCUGCUAUAUUUUCUUUAUUUUUUAAGUUUUUCUUUUUGAAGAAGCUAAUAUCUAAGAGGAGUUUCUGAUUUAAAUUUAGAAUUUCAUAUUUGUGGAGUUUGAGGAAGUUUUUUUUUUCUUGGGGGAGG